GCGUCAUCCAGCCCAACCCAUCGCCCUCAAUUUCCUCUUUGUACACUCCGGCGCAUCGCCCGCCCAAGAUCCCGUCGCGUUCAUCCGCACUCCUUCGCAUUCGGCUGCUCCAGCUAGGUUACCACUGGUAGGACCCACGAGAGAGGCUGCGUCAUCCAGCCCAACCCAUCGCCCCCAAUUUCCUCUCUGUACACUCCGGUGCAUUGCCCGCCCAAGAUCCCGUCGCGUUCAUCCGCACUCCUUCGCAUUCGGCUGCUCCAGCUAGCGAAUCGAACCAGCGCGAGGGCUACCUAAUUAACUCAUCGGUCGGUUGAUUUUUCCAUCAAAUAUCUCCAUCUUCUACACCGAUGUCAUUUCUGCUUCUCCACCAAAUAAAUGGAGGAGUAAUAGACGGGAUUCUUCCCACGACGCGAUUCUUUGAUGAACUCUCGGACAGUGUUCCCGUUCUCGAUGUGGUGCAUGCCUCUGCGAUCCCCUCGUCCUCCUCUCGCUUCUGUGUCUCUGUUCUAGCCAAGGUGCCUCCGGCGUCGCUGGGGAGGUUGGUUCGAGCCAGUUCCAGUUGGACUGGCGUUGACGUCCGGAGCUUGGUCCGGGUACGGCCUCCUUUCCGGUUUGGAAAGAUGUUGUGGUGGCGACUCGGGCUCAGCCAUAUGGACUGGACGCGACUGUUGCCCAUCCCGACUGCGCACCAUUCUCAUCUAGAGUACAUCUCCUCCCGCGGGUGCGACCCCGACUGAUUCAGCCAUGAGAAGUUCUUCCCUUUUCUGUUGCUGGUGGAUUUGCUGCCAAGGACUACAGCGACGCCAUCUGUUAGCUUUAAGCUCAAUCAGCUCAUCCACUGAUUUGUGUUGUCCAAUUGCAGUUCUGUCAUCUACACGAACCGCAACAGCCGAUCAAAACUCAGCCUCUCUCCCUUGAAAAAGCUUUGUAGGUACAGUUGAUCUGAUAGUUCGUAGCCAUUGAAAUUCGACGCCAGGUUGCUGCCACCCACGGAGUCAUCGAUGCCUAUGCAGAGAGUUUAACGGCCUCACCUACCAGGAUUUGCGUACUAUUCUCGUUGUUCUUGACUAUGAAUGGAAUGCUACGGAUCCUGCCUGCUCUGUUAUUAGGAUGGUUUAUCUAUAAGCUUCUUCUUUCUCCGGAUAUAAUUUCCAUGGUAGAAUUUUUUCUUGCCAGUUAUGUUUAUCUGUAGUUCGCUAUAUGAUGUGCCAUUUGAGUAGGUUCAGUAAGACAGGUUGCUAAUUAUUAAAAGCUAGAAAUUCUCCUCUCCGCCAUUUGUCCCCAUAUGCAGCCUUGCCCAAAGUCGUAUUAAUCAACAUAUGGUAUGCCAGCCCAAAUUCCUUGUGCGGGUGUGUCUAUGUAAGUGUACAUCAGAUUAUAUAUGUCGUUAUAUGUGCCUACUCUUGAACCCAUAGAUCUUUUUUCUCUAAGCAUGCGAAUGGUAAAAUGCUCCUGUGUGCACCACCUAUUGCCUCAUGAUCGUGGCUUAAGCCUGCACGCGUGUUGGUAACUUUGAUGAGGUGGUUAACUGAUUAUGAUCAUUAGAAUUCUGAGUUAGAGCUUUCAUGUAUCCAUGAUUUGGUUUAUUAUUUUUAUUUGUGAGGAUUGAUGAUUUCUUAUACUGGGACCAAUAAUUAUGAUUCAUCCGUCUUUUGGUUUAUUAGUUCUCCACAUUUUUGAAGACAGGGAAUCUUUUAAGAGGAAUCCAAUACUGCAUGGAAAAUCAGAUGUUGCAAUAUUCAAUGCAGAUUCAGCGGCAAAUUCGUACCUAAAGUGAACACAAAGAUCUCGUUUUCCUAUUGUGUCAUGUUGGUAUAUCCCUCCUACUUUUUGAGUUUACUCUUAUUUUAGUUUCAAGGUGCACCUACAUUUUCUCCUCAAGCGUAGCCAAGUACAUAGCGGACAAUUGUUUUUCAGCUAUUUGUAAACCUGAAGUACUAGGCUGCUACCCCAAUCCUGUCAUCGUAAUCUUGGAUCAGUUAACUGAAUUUACAAUAAACAUCAAAUUCCAUUGUGUACUAAUUCUGAUAUCCAAUUGUUGGUUUCUAUAGAGUAAAUCGGCAAAUUAUGUAGGUUUCGUAUCACACUUGCUUUCGAAUUUUAAGAGGUAAAUAGCUUAGCUACAUAUUGAUGCCUUCAGCUUUUUAAAUCAUACCAUGUGGCUGCUCAUCUAAGAUGUGUUUUCAAGCAAAAGAAACCAUACUUUUAUUUUUUAAGUAUGUCUUCGUUUGUGGCUUGCAGAAAAAGACCGAGCUAAAUACCAAAUAGAAGUGGUCCGAUUUGUUUGUGAACAUAGUAUUGAAAUAUUUACAUGUGUGAAUUCUUCGCAUUUUUUUGCCAUUUGAUUUUUUUUAACUUAAAGAGACAAAAGCAAAAAACCCAAUCUCCAAUUCCAUAUCGCUCUACUUUAUUCUUUAAUCAAUCAUGAUUAAUUAUACAACAUUUAACAUUUGGGUACAAGUAAACUUAAAUGCUUCUUUUGAACUGUACCACUUAUGAACUUCAAUUGUCUCAAUGCUGUUACAAGCCAACCACUAACUAGGACAGAAAUACAUUACUAAGUCAUGUUAGUGUUAAGUCUAUGUCCAUAUCAUGUAUUCAUGUAUUCAUUCAACAUUUCAGAUGGAAAUAUCAAUGUUCCACCAAAUCGUUA